CAAAGAGAAGAUAAAGUGUGCACAAUAUUUAUGGUGUAUUUUUUUCUUUUCUUUUCUUUUCUUUUCUUUUCUUUUUUGGCUGCCAAUUUCCUGC
rnacentral:ribozyme from 14 species